UUAAAGGUUAUUGGUAUAAAAGAUUUAGAACUUUAUAUAUCGGUAUUCCAAUGGCACCUAAAAAUCACUUUGACACUACCAAUGAUUUUUGACUAAUCAAUGGUACUAAAAAUUCCAUGAGGCCAUGAAUCCAACAACUGUGACCCCGCAACACCUCCACAUAGCAAAUAUGAUGGCUUCUAAUUUCUUUCUCAAACAGCGCCUUUCGUAGCAGCUAGCCGGCGAUGAUUGAGGUUUUAAAGUAUUUCAGUCGCCUAACAUCAAUCAUGGUCAUGGUUGUAUUUGCUUUCUUCCUUCUGGUGCUGCCGCUUGUUCUGCCACCAUUGCCACCGCCACCACUGUUCCUUCUCUUUGUUCCAGUCUUAAUAAUGAGUGCCCUCAUUUUCUUGGCUUUUUCUCCAUCCAAUGUGCCCAACACAGAAUCCAUCUCCAUUUGAUCUAUAUGAAGCAUUGGAAAUCUUCAAGCUGAGCGAUCUUGGUCUUGGACAAGGGGAAGGCUUCAUGAUUAGGUACAAGGAGACAAGAAGACUGCAAGUUAUGUUUAGAAGCAAUAAGCUACUCGUGUCAUCGUUCUGUAUAUUAUUUUCUAAAUUUGAUCAGACUCUUCGAUCUUUGUUAACUUGGUCCAUAUACAUAUAGGACCCUUGAGCAAUAUUAUAAUAUCUUAGCCGAUCAGCUUGGUGUAGUUAAUCAGGCUGAGUUUAUACAUGUCUAUCAAUCAAGUUGCAUGAGCCUGCGAGUGGAGAAGAUGUCGUUUAGGGGCCUAAGAGUUUUUAGUUUUGUAGAAAAAGCUGUGGUUUAAGAGCUUCAAGAUUUGUGCAUCACAACUUUCAAAUUUUGAGAUUAAAUUUGAAUUUGCAAUACACGAGUAUUUGGCUAA